UUAGAAAUGACAAUUAUGAAAUUUCAAUGUAAAUAGGAGUAGAGGGGUCAAGUGAGCUCCCAGAGUAUGCAACCCAUUUUCAUACCAUCCAUCAAUGUGUCAAUGCCCUUUUUGUUACAUGUAAGGUUAUAUGGGUAAUCUUUUCCAACUCAUUGAUGGAGGAAGGAAAGUUCAACCUUGGUUCAUAGAUGAGCCAACUUGAUACACUGGAGCAGGCCAAAUAGAAGGCAAGUGCACAACCACUCUAUUUAGGGAUGACACUGAAAGAGAGUGGCAAGCGAAAAUGGGCAAAGAAUGGUAGACCUGGCCAUCUAGCUGAUACGGAAAGAGAGGUAGUUGGAAUUUAGAAAAUACAUGAACUCAAAAUCACUUGUGAAUCUCUUGGCUGGAAAGUCAGAGGCCAUAAGGAGAAAAAUUGGAAGACUAGAAAGAUUGCAAACAGAAUUCCUAAUUUAUAUGCACAUAUAUAACAAACUGUUAAAAUCUUGGUACCACAUGUUAACAUUUGACAGAGAAUAUUCUCCAUGAAAGAGGCAUGCAAAAAUUGUGCUGUUUCUGAGACCAAAGAAUUUUUGGGUUCUGAUGGCUCUCUGCUGACCAACAGAUGGAUCAGUAAAUAGCAGAUGGUUUUAUGAGCAGUUCUGUCAUCUUAGCAUCUAAAAUGUUUUACAUGCCAAGCCGUAGAAGUUUGGAUCAAAAUAUCUGCUCUCGUGCAGUAAGCCUGCUGUUAGCCUGCUUCUUUUAGUAGGUUUCUCAGCCAAUUGUGGCCCUCUGACUGAGCAUUAUGACCAUGCUUAUACAUAUUCCCUCUAUAUUCACAUAAAUAUGUGAACAAGAAUGUCUUCUUGUUCAAAGAAAAAGUCUUCAUGGGACUUCAUCUUUGUCAAUAAUGCAAAUUAAGUCUCUGUAUGCUA